rnacentral:misc_RNA from 1 species
CAGGCGUCCUCACAAGUAACCUGCAUUCAGAGAGUUCCGCCACAGGGCGGAGCACCCCGAAAUACCGGGGCCAUAGCUCAGCUGGGAGAGCACCUGCUUUGCAAGCAGGGGGUCGUCGGUUCGAUCCCGACUGGCUCCACCACUGACGAAGACUUUGGGUCUGUAGCUCAGGUGGUUAGAGCGCACCCCUGAUAAGGGUGAGGUCGGUGGUUCGAGUCCUCCCAGACCCACCACUCUGAAUGUAUCGCACACUAAGAAUUUAGAUGCUCGGCGUUGAGGCCGUAGCGUUGUUCUUUAAUAAUUUGUGAUGUAGCGAGCGUUUGAGAACAAACUUCUCGACGUGUCGUUGUGGCUAAGGCGGGGACCUCGAGUCCCUAGAAAUUGAGUCGUUAUAGUUCGCGUCCAGGCUUUGUACCCCUGGACUGAAUAUGACCUUGAGGCAACUUGAGGUUAUAUGGUCAAGCGAAUAAGCGCACACGGUGGAUGCCUUGGCGGUCAGAGGCGAUGAAGGACGUGGCAGCCUGCGAAAAGUGUCGGGGAGCUG